GUGGUUUCUCCCAUGCUGUUCUCGUGAUAGCGAGUCUCACGAAAUCUUUUGGUUUUAAAAGAGGCAGUUUUUUCCUGUGCUCCUACUUCCCUCUCUUCUGUCACCUUGUGAAGAAGGUGCCUGCUUCCUCUUCACCUUCCGCCAUGAUUGUCAGCUUCCUGAGGCCACCCCAGACAUGCAGAGCUGUCUGAAGUCUCAGUGGGCUCAACCAGCUCCCCUGUUCAACAUCCGGCAAGGUCCAAACGAAGGUGACAAUCAACAGGGAUCUUAUUGGGAAGCUCUGGUCUAGGGAUGGUAACAGCGUUUCAUUGUUCCUGGUUGUCUGAGUAUUACAGCAACCUUUGCUGGGGUUUUAAAUCCUGCUCUAACUGAGCUCAUAUAAAGAGUACCGAUAGUGGGUGACAUUAACAUUUAUAAUCCAGUUGGGAAUAAGACUGAAUUGCUGACACCCUGCCACAAUUUAAAUUAUGCUAGAACUGUGGUUUCCCUGUACUGGAGAUCCAAUUUUCUUAAUCUAAGCAAGAGGCAACAAUGAAUGAGAAGUCGGAGUAAUGUUCUGGUAAGUUUUUAUUGACUUCAUGGAUUUAUUUUCUUCCCUUGUCUAACUUGCUCUGUGCUCAUGGAUGCAGAGCCAUGCAGUCAACAUCAUUCAGAUUCCUUUGUUGCCUGAAUUUCA
rnacentral:lncRNA from 1 species